rnacentral:rRNA from 1 species
UAUUGGACAAUGGGCGCAAGCCUGAUCCAGCAAUACCGCGUGUGUGAAGAAGGCCUGCGGGUUGUAAAGCACUUUUGGUGGGGAAGAAAAGUUAGAAGUUAAUACCUUCUAACCCUGACACUACCCACAGAAAAAGCACCGGCUAACUCUGUGCCAGCAGCCGCGGUAAUACAGAGGGUGCAAGCGUUAAUCGGAAUUACUGGGCGUAAAGGGCGUGUAGGUGGUUUCUUAAGUUAGAUGUGAAAGCCCUGGGCUCAACCUGGGAACAGCAUCUAAAACUGGGUAACUAGAGUAUGGUAGAGGGAAGUGGAAUUUCUAGUGUAGCGGUGAAAUGCGUAGAUAUUAGAAAGAACACCAGUGGCGAAGGCGACUUCCUGGACCAAUACUGACACUGAGGCGCGAGA